AUGGUGUUUCCAAGCAAAACUGUGUUGCUGGUGUGGAUGCCAGGCAAUAAACACACAAUUUCUGCUACCUGGAAAUUUCUCAUAGGCUGCCACACUCAUCUAGGGGCUGCGUCUACUAAUGUAAGUAUUGACCACUUAUGGGGUUUUAGUGAAAUAGUAACCUCUGAAAAGUUUCCCCACUUCCUGAAAAAUCCAUGUACAUUUAUCAUUUUGAUAUAUGUAUAUAUAUAGAAAGGUUAUCAGGGCCAGGUGGAUCGCUUGAGCCCAGGAAUUUGAGACCAGCCUGGGUAACAUGGCAAAACUCCGUCUCUACAAAAAAACACAAAAAAAUUAGCCGGGUGUGGUGGUGGCGUGCCUGUAGUCCCAGCUACUCGGGAGGUGAGGUGGGAGGAUUGAUUGAGUGAGCCAUGGUCACACCACUGCACUUCAGCCUAGGAGACAGAGUGAGACCCUGUCUCAAAAAAAAAAAAAAAAAAGAAAAGAAAAGGAAAAGGAAAAAGAGAAAAGUUAUCAGAAAGUAGAGAAAACUUUUGAAAGAGCGCUUGGAUAAGAUGGAAGUCAGCUGCUAUCAGAGGCUAAUAUCCUAACUGGACUUCCAUUGGCAAAUAUCCUGUUUUUUUCCCAGUGGGCAGUAGAAUGUAUAUUUCUUGGCUUUGCAAGAAUACAAAAAUAUCCCAUUCAUUAACUUAGGUUUCAUGCUUCAAAUAAACAAUUGCCCUGAUUUCUAAGAUAAGAUACAGUUAGCUAUGAAUGCAUAUAGGCAGAAUCUGGUGCAUAUGUUUAUCUCAAAUCCAGGGCUGUUUUUAUGUUUUACAGACCAUGCCCUGCAAGUCUAAGUGUUCUCGGGUAAAGUUGUCAAGGCAGGAGGCUGAGUGAGGACACACCAGCUUUACCUGCCUUGGGGCACUCCUGGGAUUGAUUGGUUUCCCCAGAGCCAUAAAAUUUUUUAUUAUUCUUCUGCGUGUAUCAGGCCAUGGAACUGUGUGGCCUUCUGGGAUUUCUGCUGCUUGUAAAAUGGCACAACAUUUUUGUUGGCUGAAGUGCAGGGUGAGAAUUGCUCAUCAGCCUUGCAGAGCAACUGGAGACCUCUUUUAGGGUCAUUGGUUAACCUGCACCAGAGGGCAAUUAAUGAGUCAAUGAAGGAAAUGCUAACAUUAAAUUUAAAUGUGUGAAGAAGGAUUCCUCCAAGCAUCAGAUGAGCUAGAUGGGGUAGGAACAUUAAGAGUGAAAAUCUGGGAAAUAACCAAGUGCUUUGUUCUUUUCUACGGCAUGCAGAACUCAUUACUGUUGAUGGAAGCAAAAACAACAAGGCUGAGUGCCUUCAAUAGGUCAGAGGUUAGACACGCUCUGGCUCAACUUUACUGGCCAGUCUUCAUUAGGUGAGCAAAGAAGCCUCUAAAGAGAAGAAGUUUGUUUGCCCUACUAGAAGAGCAGUCAUUGCUUUUAUAAAUAAUCAAUACCACAUAUCUUUACAUAUAGUUUCAUCAUACUUAAAAUAUUUCAGCUUCUUCGUGGUAUAGAAGUUACAGAUGGAUUAAAACCAAAUGCUUAAAAUUCACCCCCCCAGAGAAUAUGGAAUUGGUCUUAGAAAAUGGUAGUCUUUAAGAUGAGAGGUAAGUCAGGUACUAGAUAUCUCUUAAUGGAAAGUCCUACUGAAUUCUUCUGAUCUAAAUGAGUAUAAUUGAGCCAGUUGGAGUAGCAAAAAUAAUUUCAGGUGGUAUAAUGCAGCAAUUAUAAAGCAGGCCUUGGAACUGGCAGACCAGGUGCCAAAUCCCUACUAAUUUCAGUGUUAUUUGACAGAGUAGAAUUACAG
ensembl:lncRNA